rnacentral:rRNA from 1 species
UGGGGAAUAUUGCACAAUGGGCGCAAGCCUGAUGCAGCCAUGCCGCGUGUGUGAAGAAGGCCUUCGGGUUGUAAAGCACUUUCAGCGAGGAGGAAGGUGGUGAGCUUAAUACGCUCAUCAAUUGACGUUACUCGCAGAAGAAGCACCGGCUAACUCCGUGCCAGCAGCCGCGGUAAUACGGAGGGUGCAAGCGUUAAUCGGAAUUACUGGGCGUAAAGCGCACGCAGGCGGUUUGUUAAGUCAGAUGUGAAAUCCCCGGGCUCAACCUGGGAACUGCAUUUGAAACUGGCAAGCUAGAGUCUCGUAGAGGGGGGUAGAAUUCCAGGUGUAGCGGUGAAAUGCGUAGAGAUCUGGAGGAAUACCGGUGGCGAAGGCGGCCCCCCUGGACGAAGACUGACGCUCAGGUGCGAAAGCGUGGGGCAGCAAACAGGAUUAGAUACCCUGGUAGUCCACGCUGUAAAACGAUGUCGAUUUGGAGGUUGUGCCCUUGAGGCGUGGNUUCCGGAGCUAACGCGUUAAAUCGACCGCC